AAAUAUAAAUCUACCUGUGACAUCUGUCACCCCAUUGAUUGCCAGGGUUAAUUUAGCUGAUCUGGCUGGCUGGGUGGGUGUCCCCUUCCUCCCUCACUGCUCCAUGUGUGUCCUUCAAGAAGCUAUGUGCUUACUGGAAGAGGACCUUUCGCCGAACAGAGACAGACUGGUUUUCGGUUGAGGGUAUACCAGUAGCUGCAAUCCCCUGCUAGAACAUCCAAACAAACUCUCAAGGUCCAUAAACAAAUAAAAUAUUUAAUAAAAAAAAACUGUACUGUAAACCAUUAAAACCCCAGUAAAAAU
rnacentral:snRNA from 1 species